UUACCACUCUGGCCUUCUUGGCUUAGAUCAAGUGUAGUAUCUGUUCUCGAUAGUUUAACCACUAUUGUGAGGGCACCGCUCUCAUUCUUUGGUUAUCUAAUUUUUGAUGCCCUUGACCCCUGCGAGCUCUGCUUGCAACUCCAGGGACGUGAUGACCUUGCCACUGCAGUGCUGGCUCGUGUUGUCGGGGGAUC
rnacentral:snRNA from 1 species